CAAGGUGGUGAUAGCAUGAGGGAUCCACCUCUUCCCAUUCCGAACAGAGAAGUUAAACCUCA
rnacentral:rRNA from 1 species